UUUAUAGCCAAGUCUAUCUAAAAACUUUAGAACAUUAAGUUUUCUCUUUUUUGAUAAUAUUUAAUGAGAACACCUAGAAUAAAACUUUUCGAUGAAGGGAAAGUAAUAUCCAC
rnacentral:lncRNA from 1 species